UUCAUCUGUGAAAUUGAAAACACAACUAAUGUCCAUUUUAAUCAGCUGACGGUUAAAUAUGGAGUAAUGACAGUGCAGGUGUGGAAUCCACCUCUUAGUGAGCAAUACCUCCUGAUCCUGCGCCUCCUGCUGGUUCCCUCUCUCACUGUUGUGUUGGUGAUUGUGUUUCACUGCUCCUUUAUGAAGAAUGAACCCUGAUUAUUGACGGCAGUUUUUCCAGCUGAGAGUCGCUGUGACAUCAUGACUAGUUGAAUCCUCCAUUCAUCGAUAAGAAAUAUUAUACAGCUGCUUGCAAAAAUGUAACGCAUUGCUUCACUUUUUGAAUUUGCAAUUGUGUUCAACUGUUUUCUUUUUACUUUUUUUUAAUUUUUAUUUGUUCACGUUUUCAAUUUUGGGGAUAAAAAGCUUCAAGCUUCUAGAUUUCACCCAUAAAGAUAAAAUAAUCUAAUUAAUAAUAGAGUUUAGUUGAUGAAUCAAGCUAAACAAUCUGCCAGAAUAAAACAUUUAUUCCUCUAGACGCUCCUGAGUUUAAGUUUAAGGCAAAGAAUAAAGAGGCGAUCA